ACAUACGACCACAGAAAACUUGGCAGCUGGCCAUCCCGUCCGAUCUGGCACACAUAAACAGUUUAUCGGCGGAUUAGUAGUCAGGUGGGUGACCACUGGCGAAUCCCCGCUGUCGUAUGUU
rfam:Cochliobolus sativus ND90Pr unplaced genomic scaffold COCSAscaffold_15, whole genome shotgun sequence.